rnacentral:rRNA from 1 species
UACAGAGGUCUCAAGCGUUGUUCGGAUUCAUUGGGCGUAAAGGGUGCGUAGGUGGCGCUGUAAGUCGGGUGUGAAAUUUCGGAGCUUAACUCCGAAACUGCAUUCGAUACUGCGGUGCUUGAGGACUGGAGAGGAGACUGGAAUUCAUGGUGUAGCAGUGAAAUGCGUAUAGAUCAUGAGGAAGACCAGUGGCGAAGGCGGGUCUCUGGACAGUUCCUGACACUGAGGCACGAAGGCCAGGGGAGCAAACGGG